rnacentral:rRNA from 1 species
GUGAGGAAUUUUGCGCAAUGGGGGCAACCCUGACGCAGCGACGCCGCGUGGAGGACGAAGUCUUUCGGGAUGUAAACUCCUGUCAGUGGGGACGAUAAUGACGGUACCCACAGAGGAAGCACCGGCUAACUCCGUGCCAGCAGCCGCGGUAAGACGGAGGGUGCAAGCGUUGUUCGGAAUUACUGGGCGUAAAGCGUAUGUAGGCGGCAAGUUAAGUUCAAUGUUAAAGCCCACGGCUCAACCGAGGAGAUGCAUUGAAUACUGGCUAGCUAGAGGGUGUUAGAGGAAGACGGAAUUCCCAGAGUAGCGGUGAAAUGCGUAGAUAUUGGGAGGAACAUCGGUAGCGAAAGCGGUCUUCUGGGACAUACCUGACGCUGAGGUACGAAAGCGUGGGGAGCAAACGGGAUUAGAUACCCCUGUAGUCC